GCCAGCCCGCUCAGAAACUCAAAGGAAUUGACGGGGCCCGCACAAGCAGCGGAGCAUGUGGUUUAAUUCGAAGCAACGCGAAGAACCUUACCUAGACUUGACAUCUCCUGAAUUACCCGUAACUGGGGAAGCUCUUCGGAGCAGGAAGACAGGUGGUGCAUGGUUGUCGUCAGCUCGUGUCGUGAGAUGUUGGGUUAAGUCCCGCAACGAGCGCAACCCUUAUCGUUAGUUGCUACCAUUAAGUUGAGCACUCUAGCGAGACUGCCCGGGUUAACCGGGAGGAAGGUGGGGAUGACGUCAAAUCAUCAUGCCCCUUAUGUCUAGGGCUACACACGUGCUACAAUGGUGAGGACAAAGAGACGCAAGACCGCGAGGUGGAGCAAAUCUCACAAACCUCAUCCCAGUUCGGAUUGCAGGCUGAAACUCGCCUGCAUGAAGCCGGAGUUGCUAGUAAUCGCGAAUCAGCAUGUCGCGGUGAAUACGUUCCCGGGCCUU
rnacentral:rRNA from 1 species